AGAGUUUGAUCCUGGCUCAGGAUGAACGCUAGCUACAGGCUUAACACAUGCAAGUCGAGGGGCAUCAGUUUGGUUUGCUUGCAAACCAAAGCUGGCGACCGGCGCACGGGUGAGUAACACGUAUCCAACCUGCCUCAUACUCGGGGAUAGCCUUUCGAAAGAAAGAUUAAUAUCCGAUAGCAUAUAUUUCCCGCAUGGGUUUUAUAUUAAAGAAAUUCGGUAUGAGAUGGGGAUGCGUUCCAUUAGUUGUUGGCGGGUAACGGCCACCAAGACUAUGAUGGAUAGGGGUUCUGAGAGGAAGGUCCCCCCACAUUGGAACUGAGACACGGUCCAAAACUCCUACGGGCGGCA
rnacentral:rRNA from 1 species